UGCAGCUCACUGGGUGGAAGGGCAGAAAUUCCUGUUCUCAGUCCUGCUGCAACUUUACCAAAGACUUCCAACAGCAACAUGAAGUUGGGAGGCCUCCUCCUCCUUGUGACCCUCAUCACCCUCAGCUUGGAGGUACAGGAGCUUCAGGCUGCAGUGAGACCCUUUCAUAUUUUGGGCACCUGUGUUGAGCUCUGCAGCGGUGACUGGGACUGUGACCCAGAGGAGCGCUGUGUCAGCAACGGCUGUGGCCACAUCUGUGCUUCAGUCUAAGGACAGAUGAAGACUUAUCUUAAGGGUCAUCCCUUUCUAUUGCUCAUCCCUUCCUGGAGUUUCUAUCUUCAAAGAUGUGAUUGUUUGGAGCUCCUGCUCAGGAAGACAGAUGAAAAUGGAAGCUUGUGAAUGGAGAUUACAAGGGAUGUGGGAGUGAAGGAAAAAGAAUUGCUUCUUUUAAUAAAUCAUCAUCAAAAGUA